CCUACGGUGGACAGCAGUGAGGAAUAUUGGUCAAUGGACGAGAGUCUGAACCAGCCAAGUAGCGUGAAGGAUGACUGCCCUAUGGGUUGUAAACUUCUUUUAUAAAGGAAUAAAACGAGGCACGUGUGCCUUUUUGCAUGUACUUUAUGAAUAAGGAUCGACUAACUCCGUGCCAGCAGCCGCGGUAAUACGGAGGAUCCGAGCGUUAUCCGGAUUUAUUGGGUUUAAAGGGAGCGUAGAUGGGUUGUUAAGUCAGUUGUGAAAGUUUGCGGCUCAACCGUAAAAUUGCAAUUGAUACUGGCAGUCUUGAGUACAGUUGAGGUAGGCGGAAUUCGUGGUGUAGCGGUGAAAUGCUUAGAUAUCACGAAGAACUCCGAUUGCGAAGGCAGCUUACUAAACUGCCACUGACAUUGAUGCUCGAAAGUGUGGGUAUCAAACAGGAUUAGAUACCCCUGUAGUC
rnacentral:rRNA from 1 species